rnacentral:lncRNA from 1 species
UAGAUUCUAUAUUGAGAGCCGAUACUGGAAUCUAGGUAUCGGUAUGUAAUACAAAAUGGUGAGGAGUAAGCUCUCAGGUUUUGAGGAAUUGAGAUCUAUGUACUAGUAUAGAAGUUGCAGAUUUUGUAUUGAGUAUCGGUACGAAAUUUGGGUACCGAUACGUAAUAGAAAGUUUGAGAAUCCAAUGUUCGAAUUUUGCGGAACUGGAAAUCGGGUACCGAAUCUAAAUGUCGUGUAACGGUACGUGAGUUCGAGUGCCAGUAUG